rnacentral:rRNA from 1 species
UACGGGAGGCAGCAGUGGGGAAUAUUGCACAAUGGGCGCAAGCCUGAUGCAGCCAUGCCGCGUGUAUGAAGAAGGCCUUCGGGUUGUAAAGUACUUUCAGUCGUGAGGAAGGUGUUAAGGUUAAUAACCUUAGCAAUUGACGUUAGCGACAGAAGAAGCACCGGCUAACUCCGUGCCAGCAGCCGCGGUAAUACGGAGGGUGCGAGCGUUAAUCGGAAUUACUGGGCGUAAAGGGCACGCAGGCGGUUAAUUAAGUUGGAUGUGAAAUCCCCGGGCUUAACCUGGGAAUGGCAUUCAAGACUGGUUAGCUAGAGUCUUGUAGAGGGGGUAGAAUUCCAUGUGUAGCGGUGAAAUGCGUAGAGAUGUGGAGGAAUACCGGUGGCGAAGGCGGCCCCUGGGACAAAGACUGACGCUCACGUGCGAAAGCUGGGGAGCAAAC